AAGUCGUAACAAGGUCUCCGUAGGUGAACCUGCGGAAGGAUCAUUACAAAUCCAAGUCAAGUCUAUUGACAAGUUGAAAUGUGUGUGAGAGAGAGAGAGAGAAUAUAUUUCCACACAAAGUCCAUACAUUCAAUGUUGAACAACACAUAACCAAUAUUCUUUUACACAACUUGUAACAAUGGAUCUCUAGGCUCUU
rnacentral:misc_RNA from 1 species